rnacentral:sRNA from 1 species
UGGUUACCUUUGCGACUGAAGCUCUUUGUUUACUAUCCACAGAACAAGUACAACACAAGUAGUGCAGUGCAAUCUUUCCUACACUGCCUUGCUAGUCUAUCUCAGCUCCUACCUAUAUGGGUGGGAAAGUUAGUUCAGGCCCAUUCAUUUACUUGCCUGUCUGGU